AACUGAAAUUCAAACCCGGAAUGUAAUUGUACAGUACCAUAUAUUUCGUUGCCAGACAAUACGAAGAUAAGUCCGACGCAAAGUAAUUGGACGCUAGCCAGGAAAUGACCAUCUUAAAUCACUCCUUGUCAAUCUGAUACGGUUAAUUACGUUCCAAAUUAAAUUUCCACCUUCCAAGAUUAUGUUACGGGUGAACUCUGGCGAUGAGGUAUAUCAAGAUGCCAGAGUGUGGUCAUCAUUUAAGACUUUACACACAACCCUACAGUUUUGGGUGCCGAUUUCGUUCUUAUAAGCCAAUGGAAACAUACUACGUAAGCGAUCAUUUACAAUGCUUGUUUUAAACUAUAAAGCGUACGAAACAAUAAGGCUGUGCAGUUAACAUCCGUCAUCUAAUUCAUCAAAUCCUACAUGUUAUGACUCACUGGGGAUAUAGCUGCGAUUUCUGUCUGGCUGUCAUUUGUUACACAUCGACGUUUAGCUGGAACUCCAAACUACGUUCCUAGACA